rnacentral:rRNA from 1 species
GAUGAACGCUGGCGGCGUGCCUAAUACAUGCAAGUCGAACGAACGGACGAGAAGCUUGCUUCUCUGAUGUUAGAGGCGGUCGGGAGAGUAACACGUGGACAACCUACCUAUAAGACUGGGAUAACUUCGGGAAACCGGAUCUAAUCACGGAUAAUAUUUUGAACCGCAUUGUUCAAAAGUGAAAGACGGUCUUGCGGUCACUUAUAGAUGGAUACGCGCUGCAUUAGCUAGUUGGUAAGGUAAAGGAUUACCAAGGCGACGAUGGAUAGCCGACCUGAGAGGGUGGUCGCCUACCUGGGAUGUGAGACUCGCCCCCGAGACCUGCGCGAAGCAGCAGCAGAGAAUCUUACGCAACGGGGGAGAGGCUGACGGUGCAACACCGCGUGAGUGAUGAAUGUCCAGGGAUCGGAGAAUGAUGUUAGUAUGAAAGAACAAAUGUUUAAGUAACCGUGCACAUCUUGACGGUACCUGAAGAGAAAGCCACGGCUAACUACGUG